rnacentral:rRNA from 1 species
AGUGAACGCUGGCGGUAGGCCUAACACAUGCAAGUCGAACGGCAGCACAGUAAGAGCUUGCUCUUACGGGUGGCGAGUGGCGGACGGGUGAGGAAUACAUCGGAAUCUACUUUUUCGUGGGGGAUAACGUAGGGAAACCUACGCUAAUACCGCAUACGACCUACGGGUGAAAGCAGGGGAUCUUCGGACCUUGCGCGAUUGAAUGCGCCGAUGUCGGAUUAGCUAGUUGGCGGGGUAAAGGCCCACCAAGGCGACGAUCCGUAGCUGGUCUGAGAGGAUGAUAAGCGACACUGGAAGUGAGACACGGUCCAGGCGCCUACGGGAGGCAGCAGUGGGGAAUGUUGGACAGUAGGCGCAAGCCUGAUCCAGCCAUACCGAGUGGGUGAAGAAGGCCUUGGGGUUGUAAAGCCCUUUUGUUGGGAAAGAAAAGCAGCAGGUUAAUACCCCGCUGUUCUGACGGUACCCAAAGAAUAAGCACCGGCUAACUUCGUG